UACGAAGGGGGCUAGCGUUGUUCGGAAUUACUGGGCGUAAAGGGCGCGCAGGCGGCCCCUCCAAGUCAGGCGUGAAAGCCCCGGGCUCAACCCGGGAACAGCGCUUGAGACUGGGGGGCUUGAGUUCGGGAGAGGAGAGUGGAAUUCCCAGUGUAGAGGUGAAAUUCGUAGAUAUUGGGAAGAACACCGGUGGCGAAGGCGGCUCUCUGGACCGACACUGACGCUGAGGCGCGAAAGCGUGGGGAGCAAACAGG
rnacentral:rRNA from 1 species